rnacentral:rRNA from 1 species
CCUACGGGCGUCAGCAGUGGGGGAUAUUGCACAAUGGGGGGAACCCUGAUGCAGCGACGCCGCGUGGGUGAAGGAUCGUUUCGGCGCGUAACGCCCUAUCGGCAGGGAAGAAGGAGGACGGUACCUGACUAAGAAGCCCCGUCUAACUACGUGCCAGCAGCCGCGGUAAUACGUAGGGGGCAAGCGUUAUCCGGAUUUACUGGGUGUAAAGGGGGCGCAGACGGCAGCGCAAGCCAGGAGUGAAAGCCCGGGGCCCAACCCCGGGACUGCUCUUGGAACUGCGCGGCUGGAGUGCAGGAGGGGCAGGCGGAAUUCCUGGUGUAGCGGUGAAAUGCGUAGAUAUCAGGAGGAACACCGGUGGCGAAGGCGGCCUGCUGGACUGCGACUGACGUUGAGGCCCGAAAGCGUGGGGAGCGAAAGGGAUUAGAUACCCCAGUAGUC